rnacentral:rRNA from 1 species
GAUGAACGCUAGCGGCAGGCCUAAUACAUGCAAGUCGAACGGUGUCUUCGGACAUAGUGGCGCACGGGUGCGUAACACGUAUGCAACCUACCUUACAUUGGGGGAUAGCCUUUCGAAAGGGAGAUUAAUACCGCAUAAGACAGUAGCUGGGCAUCCAGCAGCUGUUAAAGAUUUAUCGAUGUAAGCUGGGCAUGCGUCCAAUUAGCUAGUUGGUGAGGUAACGGCUCACCAAGGCAAUGAUUGGUAGGGGAACUGAGAGGUCAAUCCCCCACACUGGCACUGAGAUACGGGCCAGACUCCUACGGGAGGCAGCAGUAGGGAAUAUUGGGCAAUGGACGCAAGUCUGACCCAGCCAUGCCGCGUGCAGGGUGAAGGCGUUAUGCGUUGUAAACUGCUUUUAUACAGGAAGAAACGACUCUUGCGAGAGGCAUUGACGGUACUGUAUGAAUAAGCACCGGCUAACUCUGUGCCAGCAGCCGCGGUAACAC